rnacentral:rRNA from 1 species
AGAGUUUGAUCCUGGCUCAGGACGAACGCUGGCGGCGUGCCUAAUACAUGCAAGUCGUGCGGACCUUUUAAAAGCUUGCUUUUAAAAGGUUAGCGGCGGACGGGUGAGUAACACGUGGGCAACCUGCCUGUAAGACUGGGAUAACGCCGGGAAACCGGGGCUAAUACCAGAUAGUUUUUUCCUCCGCAUGGAGGAAAAAGGAAAGGCGGCUUCGGCUGCCACUUACAGAUGGGCCCGCGGCGCAUUAGCUAGUUGGCGGGGUAAUGGCCCACCAAGGCAACGAUGCGUAGCCGACCUGAGAGGGUGAUCGGCCACAUUGGGACUGAGACACGGCCCAAACUCCUACGGGAGGCAGCAGUAGGGAAUCUUCCGCAAUGGACGAAAGUCUGACGGAGCAACGCCGCGUGAGUGAAGAAGGCCUUCGGGUCGUAAAACUCUGUUGCCGGGGAAGAACAAGUGCCGUUCGAACAGGGCGGCACCUGACGGUACCCGCCAGAAG